GUAGCGAAAUGCGAUACUUGGUGUGAAUUGCAGAAUCCCGUGAACCAUCGAUUCUUUGAACGCAAGUUGCGCCCCAAGCCAUUAGGCCGAGGGCACGUCUGCCUGGGUGUCA
rnacentral:rRNA from 1 species